UACAGAGGGUGCGAGCGUUAAUCGGAAUUAUUGGGCGUAAAGCGCGCGUAGGCGGUUACUUAAGUCGGAUGUGAAAGCCCUCGGCUUAACUGAGGAAGUGCACCCGAAACUGAGUAGCUAGAGUACGAAAGAGGGUCGCGGAAUUCCCGGUGUAGAGGUGAAAUUCGUAGAUAUCGGGAGGAACACCGGUGGCGAAGGCGGCGACCUGGGUCGAGACUGACGCUGAGGCGCGAAAGCGUGGGGAGCAAACAGG
rnacentral:rRNA from 1 species